rnacentral:lncRNA from 1 species
UCCUCACGCAACCUGCUGCAAGUUCCCAUGCAUGGCCGCACUGUACAAGCUACAGUACCUGCGGCCUGCUUCCAUUCGCCGCAAGGCACUCAUGACCUGCGCCGCCCGGAACAGAGGGAAGACUCGCCCGUUCUCGUGCCCCGCGCGCCCGGCAGCAGGGAUGUGACGUCCGCUCUCCGCGAGCCAUCAGCAGGGCGGCGGCAUCCGCCGUCCCUCCCAACGGACACCAGAGUCACGACGAAACGCCCUCAUCAUGACCCGGCGGCUACAUUCACCGAGGAGGCCAUCGACAGGGCGCAACGACAGUUGGCGCGCCACCAUCCUCCUCCAGCAUGCGCGUCGGCAGACGUCGAAGGCCGGUGAGGACGCCGGGAACCUGGGAACUUGGUUCCUCCCUUCAUGUUGUACUUUUUACCCGGCUGUGUUUAACUCUUUACUGUUCUCCACACCCGGUCUCACCUGUAACCCGG